GGGGGUAUAGCUCAGUAGUAGAGCAUUUGACUGCAGAUCAAGAGGUCCCCGGUUCAAAUCCGGGUGCCCCCU
rnacentral:tRNA from 1 species